UUAGACCAGGAGGUUGAUGUUGCAGUGAGCGGUGAUCACACCACUGCACUCCAGCCUGGGUGACAAAGCUAGAUCCUGUCUCAAAAAAAGAGACUUUGUAAAAUAAGUAGCCUCCUGGGUGGUCUUACUUUUAUCAGUGUGGAUCUUGUGUUGGCAUGGUGAAUGUGGGUUUAUUUCCUUUAUUAGGCCAACAGAGAACACUCUUCUUUCGUCAUAGACUUCAGUACCACCUAUUUCAGCUUCCUUGGAGAUAGCUUCCUUGGUCCUCUUAGUAAGUUGCCUUGCUAAUUUUGCAGGUGAACUUGAUGAAAACAGCCACACCUUUCUGCAGUCUCUCACUAGUUGUCAUUGUUUAAAUUGAGGGAUUGAAUGUAUAAAGUUAGCCCAAUAGAAAACUUUUCCUAUAUAAAAAUGACUUCAUUGGAGAAUGUGGAUGGUUCACAAUAGCUUGUCAGCACUGUUGGAGAAAAUACUUCAAAGCACUUGCCCUUCUGAGUGUGCCUGGUAGGCAUCCUUUAAUGUUUAGUGUAGUGCAUGAACACGAACUCUGGGUCAGACUGCCUGCAAUGGAAUCCCAGCUCUGCUACUUGCUAACUGUGGAAUCUUGGGCCAGUUAAUUAACCUCUUUAAGCCUCAGGUCUUCAUCUUUAAAAUAGAGAUUGUAUAAUAGUGUCUAUCUCUAUGUAACCAUCUUUUAAAAUAUUUCUGCUUUACCAUCUUUUUUAAAAAUAAAGGAUUAAAUGAGACACUUUGGAUAGUUCUAAGUAGUACAGUGCCUGACAGUAAGUGUUAGCCAUUAAUUUUCAUUAUUUAUCUUAUUACUAAUAACACACAUGCUAUAGCAACAUGGCAGAUUUAAAAAAAAAAUUCUACAAAGUUGCCUCAGUAUUCCUAAGGUCAUGGGUCCCUUGGAGAUUAAGGUUUAGAAUCCUGUACAAAGAAAUGAGAACAGUUUGUUACCCACACAUGCCACAGUAUAGAAAUGUUCACAGUAGGUUAAAAUACAGCCUUAUUCCACCACAGGUAGCAGUCGUUGAUAUCAAGAAUUAUGUCAUCACCACAGUAAUUCUUUUCCCCUGGUCUCUUGAGUAUUACUACGAUAUCUCAGUUUUCCUAUUUUCUAGCGCCAGGAAAUCUCAUUUACAAAUUACUCCUUCCUUUGUCUUUUUUUCCCCCCACUAAGCACCCUAAAGGAAAUGGUUGGGUUUGGUCUGAGUCUUGUAUAGCUGUAAAGAAAUUGGAAUUAGGAGAAGAUGUAGUAGGAAUUCUGAUACUCCUUUUACCUUCUCCAAGGUCAGCCAGUUAGCUCUUUAGUAUUUCAGCUGAAUAUCAGCAUCCCUUGGAGAUAUUGAGGAUUUGGUUCUAGACUACUCCAGUAAAGCAAGUUAUAUGAAUUUUUUGGUUUCCCAGUGCAUAUUGAAGUUCUGUUUACACUAUACUGCAGUCUAAUAAGUGUGCAAUAGUAUUACAUCUAAACAGUGUACAUUCUUUAACUAAAAAUGCCUUUUUAAAAUUCUUUUUAUUUUUUUAUUUUUUAAUCUACCAAAAUAUAAAAAUGCUUUGUUAAAAAAUGCUAACCAUCAUCUGAGCCUUCAGCAAGUUGUGGUCUUUUUGCUGGUAAAUGGAGGGUCUUGCCUCGUUUUGAUGGCUGCUGACUAAUUAGGGUGGUGGUUGCUGAAGGUUGGGGUGACUGGCAAUUUCUUAAGACAGCAAUGAAGUUUGCUCCCUCUGUUGACUCUUCCUUUCAUGAAAGAUUUCUCUUUGGCAUGCACCAC